rnacentral:rRNA from 1 species
GCUAAACGCGAAGAACCUUACCUGGCCUUGACAUGUCUGGAAUCCCGAAGAGAUUUGGGAGUGCCGCAAGGAACCAGAACACAGGUGCUGCAUGGCUGUCGUCAGCUCGUGUCGUGAGAUGUUGGGUUAAGUCCCGCAACGAGCGCAACCCUCGUCCUCUGUUGCUAACAGGUUAGGCUGAGCACUCUGAGGAAACUGCCGGUGAUAAGCCGGAGGAAGGUGGGGAUGACGUCAAGUCCUCAUGGCCCUUACGCCCUGGGCUACACACGUGUUACAAUGGCGGUGACAAUGAGUUGCGAUCGCGCAAGCGCUAGCUAAUCUCUAAAAACCGCCUCAGUUCGGAUUGUACUCUGCAACUCGAGUACAUGAAGUUGGAAUCGCUAGUAAUCGUAGAUCAGCAUGCUACGGUGAAUACGUUCCCGGGUCUUGUACACACCG